GCGUAAGCCACCGUGCCUGGCUUGCCCAUUUUUCUAUUGAGUCAUUUGCCUUGUUGGUAUGGAGUUGUAGGAGCUCUUUCUGAAUUCUGCCUCUAACCCCAUGUUGGCUUUUUGUAUUUCAGAGACCUCGUCCGCACAGGGGCUUGUUCUUCUGUGUCUUUGCAGGGCUGUUUUGGACUCAGUAUUCACCUAAGCACUCCAAAUUACCCAGCACACCCUGCCUGCAUGGCGCUGCGCUGCACCUUCACUCUGGUCACGGGUCUGGCAGUCAGCUCACCAAUUCCUCCUGCUUCCCUGGGACUUGCCGGCUUUUAGCACUGCAAUUCACUCAGCAAACUGGGACUGUUGGUCACCCUACCUGGCAGCCAGUGAUAAGGGCUGGUGUCAUUGGCAUGACAGACCUGCCUUGGCUGAGCGUUCACCUGUCUUUGGAGUUCAGCCACCUUAGCAAGUCCUGGGUUUGUUCUUCAGACUUUGCUGCUCGCCCAUUGCCUGGAUCGGGGGCUACUUUGUAAACCACCAGGAAGACUCCAGUGUUUCUGGUUAAUUUUUAGAUGUUUGUUAAUUGCUCUUGGUCUCUCAUUAAUCCCCUGUGGGUCAUCCAGGAAACAUACUCACCACUGUCUGUUCUCUGAGUUUUCAUUUCCAGGCAUCCGCCCUGCCUGGAUCUCCUCACCUGCCAGGAACUUCCUCUCCACAAGCCGGCCAUCCCAGCAAAAGUUCUAACACCAAAGGUCUGGCAACUAGCCUGCCAUCUUGUGCCUGGAGCCGCCUGCGUGCCACCUACUCCCGAAGAUGGGAACCUUGUUGCCAGUUGGGCAGAUGCGGGGCAAUCCUGUACCAAGACCCCAUUUUACCACCUGCUUUCUCAGACCACUCUGGAACCCACUGUCUCAGAUUGUGUCCUCCAGGAAGCAGACCAUGAGAGGGAGUUGGCAGGGCCAAAGAUUUACUGGGGCUAACUAACACUCAGGAAAGGGAUAGGAAGGAAACAGGGCUGGAGAGCAGGUUGAGCCCGACCUGACAGUCUCGAGCAGCCCAACAGGGAGGUGUGGAGCAAGGGUUGCCCACUAGAGGGGCCUGCAUUGGGUACGGGUGAUGGGGUCCACAUGGUACCUGGCAUAUAGCAGGCUGUGCAAUCCAUAUUAACUGACUGGAUAAAUUAAUGCCCAGAAAAGGUGCCCUGGAGAAUGGGUGUGUGCUGAACACAAUAGGGAAGGGCCCAGCAUCUGCCUUGGCAUAGGCAGAACUGUGCUGUGCCCUGCAACAGGCCACCUGAGAGCUGCUUUGAUCUUGUGUGUACAUUAGAUGACUGCCAGGGGCAUGAAGGGGAUGUGCUUCCAGGGCAUUUGCUGGCAGGGCGUCUCGUGAUCUCUUGGUAUUGGUGUGAGCACAGCCUGGCAGGAGAGGGCAGAUCUCCAUGCAAAGUAUGUCAGAAAGCAGAUGGAAGCCAGGCCCCCUCCUGAAAGAGGCUCCUUGAAGGUAGGUGCACACUCAUGUCUUUGUUACUUGUAAGGGGGCAUCUUACAGGCAAGAGGAGUUAGGUGAAUGUGAAGAGGAAGGAACUACUCUGGGCAGGGGGCUGGGGGACGCUUCGUAGAGGAGGGGGUGUUUGAGCUGGGCCUUGAAGGUCAAAAGGGUUUUGUUAGGUGGGAAAUGGGGGAAGGACAGUCUGAAAGGGUUAGGUACAUUCAAGGAGCCCAGAGAAGGUUCGUGGCUGGAGCAGACGCAUUCGUAGAGUGAAGUCAUGGGAGAGAAGAGGCUGGGAAACUAGAUUGGUUCCAACUCCUAAAGGACCACUGAAGGAGUGUGGGCUGCACGCUGGGUGCAGCAGGUGAGUUUCCUCACUUGGGUUUCACUGUCAGCAUUUUAAAAAGGCAAACUGGUUUUCUUCCUGAGAAGAAUUCAUUGAUUCACUUGUGGCCAGUAAGUCAUCUGGGCCAGAGGUUGGUGGGGAGAUGAUAGGGGUGCAAGUGUCAUCUUCAAUCACAGCAUAACUGCCCUUGCUUUCUUACCUCUCGUUUAGAUAUUUCAAUGCUUGCUCAGGUCCCCUGCGCCCUCCUUCCUUCUCCCUUCCCAGCCAUACUACUUAUGGGAUGACUUUCUCUUUGUAAAAUGACCGUUAGUCUUAUCAAAUUAAUCCCAAAGUAAUACCAUCAAUUUCCCCCUAAAAUACCAACAAGACCCCUGCUUGAAACUGCUUGUACAUUAGAGACAGAGAAGAGUCCAUGAGAAUCAACAUUUUCUGAGGACUCCAACUGUGUGCCAAGAGAGUUCCCCUGCUGGUGCCUCCUCUGUAGUAAAGGAAAGGUAACAUUCCUGCAAGGCUU
rnacentral:lncRNA from 10 species